rnacentral:rRNA from 1 species
UACGUAGGGUGCAAGCGUUGUCCGGAAUUAUUGGGCGUAAAGAGCUCGUAGGCGGUUUGUCGCGUCUGCUGUGAAAACUCGGGGCUUAACCCCGGGCCUGCAGUGGGUACGGGCAGACUAGAGUGCGGUAGGGGAGACUGGAAUUCCUGGUGUAGCGGUGAAAUGCGCAGAUAUCAGGAGGAACACCGGUGGCGAAGGCGACAUCCUGGACCGGUAUUGACGCUGAGGUACGAAAGCGUGGGGAGCAAACAGG